GACGAACGCUGGCGGCGUGCUUAACACAUGCAAGUCGAACGGAAAGGCCUCUUUCGGGGGGUACUCGAGUGGCGAACGGGUGAGUAACACGUGAGUAACCUGCCCUUGACUUUGGGAUAACUUCAGGAAACUGGGGCUAAUACCGUAUAGGAGCUCCUGCUGCAUGGUGGGGGUUGGAAAGUUUCGGCGGUUGGGGAUGGACUCGCGGCUUAUCAGCUUGUUAGCGGGGUAGUGGCUUACCAAGGCUUUGACGGGUAGCCGGCCUGAGAGGGUGACCGGCCACAUUGGGACUGAGAUACGGCCCAGACUCCUACGGGAGGCAGCAGUGGGGAAUAUUGCACAAUGGGUGGAAGCCUGAUGCAGCAACGCCGUGUGCGGGAUGACGGCCUUCGGGUUGUAAACCGCUUUCGCUCAUGACGAAGCUUUGUGUGACGGUAGUGGGUAAAGAAGCACCGGCUAACUACGUG
rnacentral:rRNA from 1 species